GAACCUGCGGAGGGAUCAUUACCGAGUUAUACAACUCAUCAACCCUGUGAACAUACCUAAAACGUUGCUUCGGCGGGAACAGACGGCCCCGUAACACGGGCCGCCCCCGCCAGAGGACCCCCUAACUCUGUUUCUAUUAUGUUUCUUCUGAGUAAAACAAGCAAAUAAAUUAAAACUUUCAACAACGGAUCUCUUGGCUCUGGCAUCGAUGAAGAACGCAGCGAAAUGCGAUAAGUAAUGUGAAUUGCAGAAUUCAGUGAAUCAUCGAAUCUUUGAACGCACAUUGCGCCCGCCAGUAUUCUGGCGGGCAUGCCUGUUCGAGCGUCAUUACAACCCUCAGGCCCCCGGGCCUGGCGUUGGGGAUCGGCGAGGCGCCCCCUGCGGGCACACGCCGUCCCCCAAAUACAGUGGCGGUCCCGCCGCAGCUUCCAUUGCGUAGUAGCUAACACCUCGCAACUGGAGAGCGGCGCGGCCACGCCGUAAAACACCCAACUUCUGAAUGUUGACCUCGAAUCAGGUAGGAAUACCCGCUGAACUUAAGCAUAUCAAUA
rnacentral:rRNA from 1 species